GAGCAGAGCAGUCACAUCUGUCUUCCUUCCAGCCAGGUGUUGGGAGGCCAACUUAUAAAUGGAAAUUUUAUUUCCUGCUUUCAGGAAGAAAAGAAGGAAUGGCAAAGUGACUUUUUGCAUCUACUGUGGUUCUAAAUCCUUUAAUUCAAAAUAAUCAAUAUGCCAGAGUGCCAUAUUUUGGAGUGGCAUGUUCUGGGCUCCUUCAAUGUCGACAGCAUUUUUAUUUUAAGACUUGUAUUUUCUCUUAAAAAUUUGUAUAAAGUUUUUUGUUUACUCCAUUUGUUAUAAAAUAGUAUUUUAAAUUACUUAUCACUGAAAGAAAUGGAUUGUCCAUAAACAUGAACCAGGUCCAGCAGCAGUGUUACUUCUUCUACGAACAUGACCUAUUCUCUAAUUCACAUAACAGAAAGUGAUUGCACCUUCUCUUGAAAAGUUUUCUGGAAGCUUAUGAACUCUGGGGCAGAUGGCAUGAGAAUUGUAGAACUUGGAGUACACAGACUCUUCACAAUAAGCCAUCACUUGUUCUGUUACCUGCCUUGGAUUUCCAGAUCAGUAUGAUCAUCUGCAACAUGCAAGAAUAAAAGAAGCCACUCUCUUUCAG